rfam:Glycine max cultivar Williams 82 chromosome 7, whole genome shotgun sequence.
UCUAAGGAACUCUGCAAAAUAGCCCCAUAACUUCAAGAGAAGGGGUGCCUCCUCACAAAGAAGGUCGUAGUGACCAGGCUCGGGUGACUGUUUACCAAAAACACAGGUCUCCGCAAAGUCGUAAGACCAUGUAUAGGAGCUAACGCUUGCCCAAUGCCGAAAGGUCAAGGAAGUUGGUGACCUGAUGACAUGGGAGCCGACGACCGAAGCCCCAGUGAACAGCGACUAUAACUAUAACGGUCCCAAGGUAGCAAAAUUCCUUGUUGGGUAAGUUCCGACCAGCACGAAAGGUGUAAUGAUCACCUUAUCAUGGA